UACGUAGGGUGCGAGCGUUAAUCGGAAUUACUGGGCGUAAAGGGCGCGCAGGCGGUUUUGUAAGCCAGAUGUGAAAGCCCCGGGCUCAACCUGGGAAUGGCAUUUGGGACUGCAAGGCUGGAGUUUGGCAGAGGAGACUGGAAUUCCUGGUGUAGCAGUGAAAUGCGUAGAUAUCAGGAGGAAUACCGAUGGCGAAGGCAGGUCUCUGGGCUAUAACUGACGCUCAUGCACGAAAGCGUGGGGAGCAAACAGG
rnacentral:rRNA from 1 species